GGGAAUGUGGCUUAGUGGUAGAGUGCUUGCCUAACAUGCAUGAAGCCCUGGGUUCAAUUCCCCAUUACCA
rnacentral:tRNA from 1 species